rnacentral:rRNA from 1 species
UACGUAGGUGGCGAGCGUUGUCCGGAUUUACUGGGCGUAAAGGAUGCGUAGGCGGACAUUUAAGUCAGAUGUGAAAUACCCGAGCUUAACUUGGGUGCUGCAUUUGAAACUGGGUGUCUAGAGUGCAGGAGAGGUAAGUGGAAUUCCUAGUGUAGCGGUGAAAUGCGUAGAUAUCAGGAGGAACACCAAUAGCGAAGGCAGCUCGCUGGGACGGUACUGACGCUGAGGCGCGAAAGCGUGGGGAGCAAACAGG